GGUCUCCCCCUGUCUAAAAUAGCCAGUUCUUCUUGUCCAGCGCUUCCAAUAAAAUUGCACAUAAUUGGGUUACGUCAUUCCAGUUUGAACAUGGAGCAAACGGAACAAACAACGGAUGAAGAAAUCUGCCCGCUGCGGACAACCUUGGGCCUGGUAGCAUAUCGCAUUCCAUCUUACAACGGUGGCGAUUGCUACUGUCUAAGUGUGAGAUCAUCAUUCACAAAGCCGGCUUCAGACAGUCAUUCAUGCUCCGAAGCAGCACUGACCAGACCUGGCAAGUGAGGGAACGGGAAACAACACUGGCCUGGAUCAGGAUGAGUGAACGUCAGUGGAUUUAACCUGUUCGGAUCAUGAUAUCUACAGUUCUUAGCUACUCAGAUUCAGGCAGGUGUAAGUGUCAGAUGGAAUUCUUUGAGUCUGAAUUCUGUUCUUGGUAAUAUGGAGUUUUAGUGCAUAUGAUUCUGACCAAAAUCAGGAUGAGCGUGUGUCGGUGGACAUAAUUAGGUAUGUACCUAAAUUAGAAAGAAAGCGAGUCAGUGCACAUGGGUUUAUACCCUUAUUCAGUUAGGAGAAAUAGCCGUUGGAAAUCGCAGCCCCCAAGCUCCAUGUACUCUGUGGGUCCACCUGGCAUUGUAUUGGUUGUCACAGACAGAUUUUAUUAACAACUGAGUUCUUGCUUAGGCUACUAGUGAUUUCUGAGGAUUCAAUGAACAGUUCAGCAGUGCGGACAGCUGAGGAAAUAUUGGUGUGAGCUUGUGCUUCGUACACUCGUACCUGGACCUGAGGGUUGUGGGUCUGCAUUUAUGUAGGAUAUUUCUAUUUAACUUUGAGCAGAUAUUUCUAUUUAACUUUGACCAAGGCAUUGUUACAGAAGCUGCAAUUACAUGCUCCAAAUUGUAAAUCAGAUGACAUUUAAAAUAGAGCAUUUAGCAUGGCAAAUAAAUACUGUAAUUCAGCACAAAAGUACAGCAAAAUUACCCAAUAAAACACAAACAAAUCUUAAUAAUAAUGCUUAACUCAGAUGAACUACUCUUACGCUUCACUUUUGGUAUUUAACAAGUGUGAGCAUGCCUUCAUUGUUUGGCCAUUGCAGUGAAUCUUAAUAGCAUGAUUUUGGAAGGCAAUUGUGAUGCAAUGGGAGCCACCUGUGAUGCAAAGUUAGCCAAGUGUGAUGUAAAUGUAGCCAACUAUGAUGCAAUGGAGGCCACCUGUGAUGUGAUGGGAGCCAAAGUUUAUGUAAUGGGAGCCACCUGCAAUGUGAUGGAAGACACCUGUGAUGUCGUGGGAACCAUCUGUGAUGCAAUAGAAGCUAAUUGUGAUGCAAGAGGUUUUGUGGUAUUCCCGGCAGUCCGAAGUGAUCUGACUUUGUCAGGCUUAUAAAUUAUAAGGGCAAAGACGUGGUUUUCAUCUGCUUGCUAGCAUUUUCCCCAGAGACACAGGAGGUGGAUCAAUAUUGGGGUCCCUGCCUUUGUAAUAAAUAAAUAAAUAAAUGAAAUGUUGGAA